ACUUGUCGCCCAGCUGCGAACUGGAGCGGGAGGCGGCGGCCGGAGGGCCCAGGACAGCCCCGGGAGGGCGGCGAGGCGGAGCAGGAGCGCCCCGGCUCCGGCCACAUUCUCAGAGUCAGGAAAAGGGGCGAGAGGCCACAUGUCUCCCUCUCGCCCAACUGAAAACGAAACGGCGCUCCAGCAGAUUGGGUGGAAAGAGCUGGGUCUCUUUUCUCUGUUUUUCACGCUAGAAAGGGCUUGUAAACAUUGUUCCUUUUAAAAUGACCUACCCCAGGCAUUUGUUUGGGCACACUUCUGUCCUGGGGUCAUCGUUCCUAGGUGGCUUCGGACCUGGGACUUUUCCUGUAUCUGCACAUUGUCGUUUUAUACACAAUUGCCAAGGUGGGACUGCUUUCAACUUUACUGUGCUUGAAGCUGCAAAGGUUCUGCCCUGAUGUUUCCUGGAAUAAUGCUGAGGACUGCCUUUCGGGUAGCCGCCCUAUUCAGUUCACUUCAUCUCGGAAAUACCUGACCCCUGCCUUGGAUCCAGCGGCCCUCCUGAGAGCUGAGGAAGGAGGAAAUCCUAUGUGUCUGCUCCCGGAGCUGCCACAACCCAUCUUCCCACAACUCGGAACUUGGAAAAAGGAACCCAGGACACGACUUUGCUUUUCUUUUGGACCUAAUACAAGUUAACAGGAUAUGCUUCUGGCCUGUUUCUGGAUUCUAAGGGUAGAACCAGCAUAAAACUAGUCAGUCCAAGUAUUUCUAAAGAUCCACAGACACAGUUCUCCUGGAUUUGGGAAGCCUAGAGAUAUUAGCACAAUAAUUAAGGCCCAAGGUAAAAGCAACAGCAGCCUGAAAAUGCAAAAGACCAUACAUUUUAAUGCAACUUUUAAAAGCCUUUCCACUGCACAGUGAAAGAAAACCACAAACUCCUUGUUUAAUAAGUGGGAUCACGUGCUUUUAACACGAGGAAAAGGUCAAUCUGAAGCAACUGAUAUGGAACUGCCAGAGUAGGAGUUGAAAAUCUUCCUAAACUGCUGGAGGAUACACCUCUGAUAGCUUGAGACAAAUAUCCUCUUGAUCAUUGUUUCACCAUAUUUGUCUUUGCUCAUGGAGAACCAUUUUGAUCCGUGGUUUAGCCUCCCAGGUGAUUGAACAAUACCGGUGAUCUGAGGCAGACCCUCUGUGACGGAUAACAGGAAAGAAUAUUGAUUGAACAUCUACUCAAGAACUGCAAAACAGAGAUUACCUGACCUAAAGCAUUUAUAUUGCCAAUCAUGUUGGAGAGUCCAUGUGGUGAUUUCUGAAAACGAGAUGUGAGAAAGAAGAGGAUAAUUUAAGUCUAGACCUACAGAUUGUGCUGAUAAAGUGAUGAAGAACUACAAUCUUCUUAGUCAUUUCAUUGUAUAAGUGCAAUAAAGGGUAUGUAAUAAAUUUGUAUGUUCAUAUUUA
rnacentral:lncRNA from 1 species